UACAGAGGGUGCGAGCGUUAAUCGGAAUUACUGGGCGUAAAGGGCGCGUAGGCGGCCAGCACAAGUCAGUUGUGAAAUCUCCGGGCUUAACUCGGAAAGGUCAACUGAUACUGUGCGGCUAGAGUGCAGAAGGGGCAACUGGAAUUCUCGGUGUAGCGGUGAAAUGCGUAGAUAUCGAGAGGAACACCUGCGGCGAAGGCGACUUUCUGGCCUGUUCUUGACGCUGAGGCGCGAAAGCUAGGGGAGCAAACGGG
rnacentral:rRNA from 1 species